GGCUCAGUGAUAUUCUGCUUUAUAUGCAGUAUACGCUAUUCUGAUUUAUCAUGUGAGCGGAUAUUUAUUUGUAGAUGAGAGCC